rnacentral:rRNA from 1 species
UACGUAGGGUGCAAGCGUUGUCCGGAAUUAUUGGGCGUAAAGAGCUCGUAGGCGGUUUGUCGCGUCUGCUGUGAAAUCCCAGGGCUUAACCCUGGGCCUGCAGUGGGUACGGGCAAACUAGAGUGCGGUAGGGGAGAUCGGAAUUCCUGGUGUAGCGGUGAAAUGCGCAGAUAUCAGGAGGAACACCGGUGGCGAAGGCGGAUCUCUGGGCCGUAACUGACGCUGAGGAGCGAAAGCACGGGUAGCGAACAGG